UACGAAGGGGGCUAGCGUUGUUCGGAAUCACUGGGCGUAAAGCGCACGUAGGCGGAUGUGCCAGUCAGGGGUGAAAUCCCGGAGCUCAACUUCGGAACUGCCUCUGAUACAGCACGUCUUGAGUCCGGAAGAGGUGGGUGGAAUUCCUAGUGUAGAGGUGAAAUUCGUAGAUAUUCGGAAGAACACCAGUGGCGAAGGCGGCUCACUGGCCCGGUACUGACGCUGAGGUGCGAAAGCGUGGGGAGCAAACAGG
rnacentral:rRNA from 1 species